CCUUGGAUUCUACAUCUGUAAAAUUCAUGGGGUUUUGGUGAGAACUGAGUGGUCAAUACAAAUGAAGCCUUUCACAUAGAGCCUGGCACGUAGAAAGACCUCAAAAAUGAUAUUUGAUACAGUUAUUCAUUGCAAUUGCCAUUGUUGUUGCUUUGUUAGGAAGAUGAUCAUUCAAGAGGCCUGAAGGAAGACUUGUGUUGGAGCCUAAGAUCCAUCAAAUCAGGAAAUCUGGAAGUGAGGCCAAGAAAGCUUUAGCAAAGUCAUCAGGGGUUCUUAUUCACAUCAAGUCUGAGAUGCAGUGAUUCCCAAGUGGCCUUUCUGACAGCUCUGGGUGAGAGGGCCUGGUUCCUGCAUGGGAUGCUUUGGAUUGGGUUGUCCUCAGGUGCAUCUGAACUUGUGAAUUAGAAUUGGCAGCUAAGAAAACCAAGAGAGGAAAAUACACCAUUCAGAAAGACUCCUCACCUCCUCUCCUCCAUCCUGCCAGGGCCAAUGUGGCCAGAAGCCCAAUUUUACCCAUUUAAUGGAGAAGAUGGAAAGUGUCUGGGCAUUUUGUCACUGUGAGUAUGAAGAAAAAAAUAGUGAUUUUCCCAUCUGAGUAUUUCUUUGAGGAACGUUCAGUUUAGUGGGGUUCUUAGAUGUUCCCUGGAUUCAUUCGUUCGUUCCUCCAUCCAUUCUUUCAUGCAUUCAGUGAACAUGUAUUAAUUGGCCCUAUGCCAGGACCUGGGCCAGCCAGAGGUGCGUGUGCAUGCCUGUGUGUGCGCACAUGCACAGGGACACACACCACUCUCUCGGCAGCGUUGUUUUUAGUACUCCCUGCAGGGAGGAGUCAUGAAUGAUAUUCCAAACGCAAUCCAAAGAUAAACCAAACAGAGCCCGUGUUCAAGUGUGAAGGUGGAUGAUCAGAAGGUGCAAUGUGUUAUUCUAUGACAGCAGUGAACCCACCUUUAAAGCAGACUGGCACCAUUCAAGGCUUUCCAGAGGAGGCCACACCUGGACUGGGCUUUGAAGAGUGAGUAAGAGUUGGCUGGGCAGGGUGAGAAAGGCACUUGAGGCAGAGAGUGGUGUGUGUGACACAGAGUGCGAAACAGAUUGGGGCUUAGGGACUGUGGAUCAUAUUUUAUGACUGGGAGAGCAGCAGGAAACAAGGCUAGACAGCAGGGGUGUUCUGAUCCCCUAGGGUGUCAUGUGUGGAUUUAAGAAGUAAGAGUCUGUCUCUCAAAGUUGUACAGGGGUGCUGAUGGGUUUGCAAAGGGGAGAACAAGAUAAGAUUUGGUCUGGCAAAGUCUACUGUUGCUGUCACUUGCAAAGGAGCAGAGAGCAGAGAGACCCAUUAAGAGAUAAGUCCUGGCCAG
rnacentral:lncRNA from 1 species